ACGGCACCCCAUAGUUUCGACGAGUAUCCAAUUUUUAAUGGCCACCUGGUGAAAUUUAAAUCAAGGUGGUGUGAAACUUUAUUUCCGAGAUGUGAAAGGAGGGUAUUCUUCAAACGGUAGAUUGACAUGGCUGCCUUUUGAAGCAAGGGUGCUGUCCUAAUAGUGCUUCGAUUGCUGAAUAUUUUUAGGAUGGUUGAAUUCUGCAACAUACUGGUGGCUUAUCUGUGAUUGACAGCCUUUCUUGAUGCUUCCAACCUGAAUUCUAUGUGAUGGUUGAUGGCUGCUCUGUGGAUUGGACAUUGUAAACUAGAUCAAGUCAUGUUGUUGAAUUAUUGCAUCAUUUCAUGUGUAUUAAGUUUCUGUAUUGUCUGUUGAAUGUAGACCGGUUAAAUCUCCGGUGGCGAGCUGGAGGAAUACACUGCUGUCUUGAACU